rnacentral:rRNA from 1 species
AACGUAGGAGGCAAGCGUUAUCCGGAUUCACUGGGCGUAAAGCGCGUGUAGGUGGUUCGUUAAGUCGCUGGUGAAAGCCCCUGGCUCAACUGGGGGAGGUCUGGCGAAACUGGCGGACUCGAGGGUCCGAGAGGAAGGUGGAAUUCCCGGUGUAGCGGUGGAAUGCGUAGAGAUCGGGAGGAACACCAGUGGCGAAAGCGGCCUUCUGGCGGGCUUCUGACACUGAGACGCGAAAGCGUGGGGAGCAAAC